rnacentral:snRNA from 1 species
AAAAUUGGAACAAUACAGAGAAGAUUAGUAUGGCCCCUGCGCAAGGAUGACAAGCAAAUUCGUGAAGCGUUCCAUAUAAAA